AUGAGUAAAGUGGCGUACGGGUGAGUAACACGUGGAUCAUCUACCCUUUAGUGUGGAAUAACCCUGGGAAACCGGAGCUAAUACCGCAUAAUCCCGAGAGGGGAAAGAAGCAAUUCGCUGAAGGAGGAGUCCGCGGCCGAUUAGCUAGUUGGUAGGGUAAUGGCCUACCAAGGCUGAGAUCGGUAGCCGGCCUGAGAGGGCACACGGCCACACUGGCACUGAAACACGGGCCAG
rnacentral:rRNA from 1 species